rnacentral:lncRNA from 1 species
UGCCAUUUUUAGUUUGUAAAAACAAGGAAGUGACUUUUUAUGAUCUAGAAAGAACAAUAGUUUCAACUAAAAAACUUCCCACAGACCGCGCCAAAUUGUUUGAGAAAAUAAUUGCUAAACUAAUUAUUAGUAAGAUAAUGUGGUGAAUCUUAGUUGAGCUUAAUAAAUCCUAGAUCAAAUAAAAUGAGUUUCUUAUAUAGUGAGAAGAGUUAAGAGCAUUAAUUAAUGAGUUCAAUAUACUAAGAUUGAUGAAAAAUGUAAUAUCAUAAUUGUACAAUAACUGCAAGAAACGAUAAUGAUUAUAGCAUAAAGGAACUUUCACCCAAUGAUUGCAUGAUUGGGUGGUUUUUCCUUCUAAAAAUUUGAAAAGAUAUGCAGUUGAUAUGAAUGUGGAAUCUAUGGGAUUUAUGGAUAGAAGUUGUACAACAUGUGCUUGAAUAAAGUGGACUAGACAAUUCUUUCUUAUGUUCUUCUCUCAACUGUACAAUAUGACUCUUGGUUCCCAAAAUGGCAGAUCCCUUUCUUGUUCACUAUCUCUUCCUAUUUAUAAGGGACAUUUCACAAAAGACCCCAAUAAGUACAAUAUAAAGAAUAUCCAAAAGAAUAUUCUUCCUAUCUCUUCCUAAGUUUAUGUUACCGUUAUUAUCUUCUCCUAGUUGUCCGCUUCUGGCCGUCGGCCUUUAUCAUAAUGAUCGUCAGUCGCUGUGUUGUGGUCGACCCCGUCGUGUUUUCCAAAUUUGGACCUAUACAAUUUAUAGCUCCAAAUAACUAUACAGAAAACAACAUUAGACUGAGCAAACAAGAUCCAGUUCUAUAUGCCUCAGUAAAGCCUUCUACUGCCUCACACACUUUCAAGCUAUUCAACUUUUGCUGGAUUCACAUUCUUUACAGGGUUGUAAUUCAAUUUUUGUUUGUAAAUAGCCAACCUGGGGGAUAAGCUCGUUCAGAAAUAGACCUCCUGAAUGAUAAAUCGAACAGUGAUUUCUGUUGCAUUCUUUAUACCUUGCCACAACAAUAGUUUCUUCAAAAUAGUUCUAGCCACCUCACAUCCAAAAAAAGAGAUGUCGGAUGGUCUCAUUUGCUCUAGAGCGCACAAGGGACAUAGUAAAUCAGUGGCGAUGCCCCAUUGGGAAAUUCUGUCCUUUGUUGCCAAUCUACCACACACAACUAAGCGCAAUAUAAAGAUCCAUUUAUCAGCUGUCUGGUUGUUGCGUAUGAGUUUCCUCCAUGACACAAUUUGAAAGCCCCC